rnacentral:lncRNA from 1 species
ACUCAAAGAGAAGUGGACCAACCGGCUUCGGCUGGACGUGCGGUGUGGCAGCAUAAAAGCAGGUCUGGCUGUAGAUCUGCUAUCCACUUCGUCCAGAAGCAACAUGAAGGUCUUCCUGCUAGCACUGUUGGUCGUACUGAUGUGUAGCACCCAGGUGCACACACUCAGAUGUUUCGUCUGUGAGGGAGAGGAGGGCUGCGCCACCGCCACAGAAUGUCUCAACCAUGAGAAAUUCUGCAAGAUGUCUUUCACAGAGACUUCCGUGUCCAGAAGCUGUGCGUCUCAGUGCAAGAUGGACGAGAACCAGGACUGCUGCAUGGAAGACGAAUGCAACCACUAGAGUCCUCUCCAACCACCACGCUUUUUAAUCAAAGGAAUCAUUAAAAAAGGUUAUGCAAUGUAACAUUAUAUACCAUAUGGGCUAGGUCACUUGGUAAUCAGAGAGCAGAUAUUCUUAAUUUGUUUCUUCGUUAGUUCAAUUGGUCCAGUUUUUCUUGGAAAUAUGCUAUAAUGCAUUAAACUAG